GAGUUUGAUCCUGGCUCAGGACGAACGCUGGCGGCGCGCUUAACACAUGCAAGUCGAGCGAGAACCAGUCCUUCGGGACUGGGACGAGCGGCGAACGGGUGGAGUAACACGUGAGUAAUCCACCCUCGGUACCGGAACAGCCCGGGGAAACUCGGAUUAAUGCCGGAUGGCCCAUUCACCUCUCGAGGUGACUGGAAAAGAUAGCUUCGGCCUCCGACCGGGGACGAGCUCGCGGCGGAUUAGCUUGUUGGCGGGGUAACGGCCCACCAAGGCGACGAUCCGUAGCUGGUCUGAGAGGACGAUCAGCCACACUGGGACUGAGACACGGCCCAGACUCCUACGGGAGGCAGCAGUGGGGAAUCUUGCGCAAUGGGCGAAAGCCUGACGCAGCGACGCCGCGUGAGGGAAGAAGGCCUU
rnacentral:rRNA from 1 species